rnacentral:rRNA from 1 species
UACGUAGGUGGCAAGCGUUGUCCGGAUUUACUGGGCGUAAAGCGCGUGUAGGCGGCCCGUUUAGUCUGUCGUGAAAUCUCCCGGCUUAACCGGGAUGGGUCGACGGAUACUGGCGAGCUUGAGGGGAGCAGAGGAAGGUGGAAUUCCCGGUGUAGUGGUGAAAUGCGUAGAUAUCAGGAGGAACGCCGGAGGCGAAAGCGAGUGACUGGCGCGUUCCUGACGCUGAGGUGCGAAAGCUAGGGGAGCAAACAGG